AGUGAACGCUGGCGGUAGGCCUAACACAUGCAAGUCGAACGGCAGCACAGUAAGAGCUUGCUCUUACGGGUGGCGAGUGGCGGACGGGUGAGGAAUACAUCGGAAUCUACUUUUUCGUGGGGGAUAACGUAGGGAAACUUACGCUAAUACCGCAUACGACCUACGGGUGAAAGCAUGGGAUCUUCGGACCUUGCGCGAUUGAAUGAGCCGAUGUCGGAUUAGCUAGUUGGCGGGGUAAAGGCCCACCAAGGCGACGAUCCGUAGCUGGUCUGAGAGGAUGAUCAGCCACACUGGAACUGAGACACGGUCCAGACUCCCACGGGAGGCAGCAGUGGGGAAUAUUUGACAAUGGGCGCAAGCCUGAUCCAGCCAUACCGCGUGGGUGAAGAAGGCCUUCGGGUUGUAAAGCCCUUUUGUUGGGAAAGAAAAGCAGCAGGUUAAUACCCCGCUGUUCUGACGGUACCCAAAGAAUAAGCACCGGCUAACUUCGUG
rnacentral:rRNA from 1 species